rnacentral:rRNA from 1 species
UCGGGUGACAGGGAGACAGGUGGUGCAUGGUUGUCGGUCAGCUCGUGUCGUGAGAUGUCGGGUUAAGUCCCGCAACGAGCGCAACCCCUACGUUUAGUUGCUAACAGGUGAAGCUGAGCACUCUAGACGAACUGCCGUUGACAAAACGGAGGAAGGUGGGGAUGACGUCAAAUCAUCAUGCCCCUUAUGUUCUGGGCUACACACGUGCUACAAUGGCCGGUACAGACGGAGGCGAAGCCGCGAGGCGGAGCAAAUCCGAAAAAGCCGGUCUCAGUUCGGAUUGCAGGCUGCAAUUCGCCUGCAUGAAGUCGGAAUCGCUAGUAAUCGCAGGUCAGCGUACUGCGGUGAAUACGUUCCCGGGCCUU